GGGUCAGUAGGUUGGUCGUGCCACCGGUACGUACUGGUCUCACUGAUUCCUCCUUCCUGAAGAACCGUAAUGCCAUUAAUUUGGUGUUGCGGGGAAACAGGACUGUUACUUUGAAAAAAUUAGAGUGUUUAAAGCAAGCUAACGCUUGAAUACAUUAGCAUGGAAUAAUGCAAUAGGACGAUCGAUCCUAUUUUGUUGGUUUCUAGGAUUGACGUA
rnacentral:rRNA from 1 species